GCAUCUGCCAAGGAUGUUUUCAUUAAUCAAGAACGAAAGUUAGGGGAUCGAAGACGAUCAGAUACCGUCGUAGUCUUAACCAUAAACGAUGCCGACCAGCGAUUAGGAGACGUUGAAUACAAAACACCACCAUGCGCAUUGCGGUCGUCUUUGGUGUGUCGCUCACAAGGCGGCAUCAUCGGGACGGCUUA
rnacentral:rRNA from 1 species